UACGUAGGGCGCGAGCGUUGUCCGGAUUUAUUGGGCGUAAAGAGCUCGUAGGCGGCUUGUCGCGUCGGCUGUGAAAUCCCGUGGCUCAACUGCGGGUCUGCAGCCGAUACGGGCAGGCUAGAGUUCGGUAGGGGAGACUGGAAUUCCUGGCGUAGCGGUGAAAUGCGCAGAUAUCAGGAGGAACACCGAUGGCGAAGGCAGGUCUCUGGGCCGAUACUGACGCUGAGGAGCGAAAGCGUGGGGAGCGAACAGG
rnacentral:rRNA from 1 species